rnacentral:rRNA from 1 species
AGAGUUUGAUCCUGGCUCAGGAUGAACGCUAGCGGCAGGCUUAACACAUGCAAGUCGAGGGGCAGCGAGAGUAGCAAUACUUGUCGGCGACCGGCGCACGGGUGAGUAACGCGUAUGCAACCUACCCUUUAUCGGGGGAUAGCCCGGAGAAAUUCGGAUUAACACCCCAUAGUAAUAUUUGAAGGCAUCUUUAGAUAUUUAAAACUCCGGUGAUAAAGGAUGGGCAUGCGUGACAUUAGUUAGUUGGUGAGGUAACGGCUCACCAAGACGAUGAUGUCUACGGGGUCUAAAAGGAUGGUCCCGCACACUGGUACUGAGACACGGACCAGACUCCUACGGGAGGCAGCAGUGAGGAAUAUUGGUCAAUGGGCGCAAGCCUGAACCAGCCAUGCCGCGUGAAGGAUGAAGGCCCUACGGGUUGUAAACUUCUUUUGUACGAGAAGAACAUGAGAUACGUGUAUUUCACUGACUGUAUCGUAUGAAUAAGGAUCGGCUAACUCCGUGCCAGCAGCCGCGGUAAUACGGAGGAUCCAAGCGUUAUCCGGAUUUAUUAGGUUUAAAGGGUGCGUAGGCGGAAGAAUAAGUCAGUGGUGAAAUCCUGCAGCUUAACUGCGGAACUGCCAUUGAUACUGUUUUUCUUGAGUACGGUUGAGGUAGGCGGAAUGUGUAGUGUAGCGGUGAAAUGCUUAGAUAUUACACAGAACACCGAUUGCGUAGGCAGCUUACUAAGCCGUAACUGACGCUGAGGCACGAAAGCGUGGGGAUCGAACAGGAUUAGAUACCCUGGUAGUCC